CAAAAGUUUGGUCCUAGCCUUAUACUCAACUAUUACUUAACUUACACAUGCAAGUAUCUGCACACCCGUGAGAAAGCCCCUACCCCUCUAGAAAGGUAAAGGAGCCGGUAUCAGGAACAAAUAUUUUUCCCACGACACCUAGUUUCGCCACACCUCCAAAGGUAUUCAGCAGUGAUCAACAUUGUCCAUAAGCGCAAGCUUGAGCCAGUUAAAGUAAAUAGAGCCGGCCAAUUCGGUGCCAGCCGCCGCGGCUACCCCGCUUGGCUCAAGUUGAUUCUUUCGGCGUUAAGCGUGGUUAAAGUAACAUAAAUAUACUAGAAUUAAACCAACCCCAAGUUGUGAUACACUUGCCCAAAGAAAUUCAUAAACGAAAGUUAUUCUAUAAAAUACUUGAACCCACGACAGUUGAGAUACAAACUGGGAUUAGGCACCCCACUAUGCCCAACCGUAAAAUAUUUAUUCACACCAUCCCCCGCCAGGAAAUUACGAGCCACCUUAAAACCCAAAGGACUUGACGGUGCCCCAUCCACCUAGAGGAGCCUGUUCUAUAAUCGAUACCCCCCGAUAUACCUCACCACCCCUUGCCCACAGUCUGUAUACCUCCGUCGCAAGCUUACCAUGUAAACGCCAGUAAGCUAAAAGAUAUUUACCAUCAACACGUCAGGUCAAGGUGCAACUAACGGAGUGGAAAGAAAUGGGCUACAAUUUCUAUAAUAGAAUAUACAAAAACCUACAUGCAACAUAGCCUUAAGGCGGAUUUAGUAGUAAAAAGAAAAUAGAAUAUCCUUUUUAAUCAGGCACUGAGGCGCGUACACACCGCCCGUCACCCUCUUCAAAUAUUACUUAUAAGAAGAGGCAAGUCGUAACACGGUAAGCGUACUGGAAGGUGCGCUUGGAUAACC
rnacentral:ncRNA from 1 species